rnacentral:rRNA from 1 species
UACGUAGGGAGCAAGCGUUUGUUCGGAUUUACUGGGCGUAAAGGGCGCGUAGGCGGCAAAUUAAGUCAGCUGUGAAAUCUCCGAGCUUAACUCGGAACGGUCAGCUGAUACUGAUCUGCUAGAGUGCGGAAGGGGCAAUCGGAAUUCUUGGUGUAGCGGUGAAAUGCGUAGAUAUCAAGAGGAACACCUGAGGUGAAGACGGGUUGCUGGGCCGACACUGACGCUGAGUGCGCGAAAGCCAGGGGAGCAAACGGG